rnacentral:tRNA from 1 species
GUCUCAAUAGCGUAGUGGUUAACGUACUGCCCCAGUUAGGCGCUAGACACGGGUUCGAUUCCCGCCUGAGAUA